GUGGGGAAUCUUGCGCAAUGGGCGAAAGCCUGAUCCAGCAAUGCCGCGUGCAGGAAGAAGGCCUUCGGGUUGUAAACUGCUUUUGUACGGAACGAAAAGGCUCUGGUUAAUACCUGGGGCUCAUGACGGUACCGUAAGAAUAAGCACCGGCUAACUACGUGCCAGCAGCCGCGGUAAUACGUAGGGUGCAAGCGUUAAUCGGAAUUACUGGGCGUAAAGCGUGCGCAGGCGGUUUUGUAAGACAGGCGUGAAAUCCCCGGGCUCAACCUGGGAAUGGCGCUUGUGACUGCAAGGCUGGAGUGCGGCAGAGGGGGAUGGAAUUCCGCGUGUAGCAGUGAAAUGCGUAGAUAUGCGGAGGAACACCGAUGGCGAAGGCAAUCCCCUGGGCCUGCACUGACGCUCAUGCACGAAAGCGUGGGGAGCAAACAGGAUUAGAAACCCUUGUAGUCC
rnacentral:rRNA from 1 species